GCGGCCUAUCAGCUUGUUGGUGAGGUAAUGGCUCACCAAGGCGACGACGGGUAGCCGGCCUGAGAGGGUGACCGGCCACACUGGAACUGAGACACGGUCCAGACUCCUACGGGAGGCAGCAGCGGGGAAUAUUGCACAAUGGGCGAAAGCCUGAUGCAGCAACGCCGCGUGAGGGAUGAAGGCCUUCGGGUUGUAAACCUCUUUUAGGAGGGAAGAAGCGAAAGUGACGGUACCUGCAGAAAAAGCACCGGCUAACUACGUGCCAGCAGCCGCGGUAAUACGUAGGGUGCAAGCGUUGUCCGGAAUUAUUGGGCGUAAAGAGCUCGUAGGCGGUUUGUCGCGUCUGCUGUGAAAAUCCGAGGCUCAACCUCGGACCUGCAGUGGGUACGGGCAAACUAGAGUGCGGUAGGGGAGACUGGAAUUCCU
rnacentral:rRNA from 1 species